rnacentral:misc_RNA from 1 species
CAGAUGUGUAUAAGGGACAGGUGAGUCAUCGAAUCUUUGAACGCACAUUGCGCCCUGUGGUAUUCCGCAGGGCAUGCCUGUUCGAGCGUCAGUACAACACUCAAGCCUAGCUUGGUCUUGGGCCUCGCCGGAAACGGCGGGCCUUAAAGGUAGUGGCGGCGCCCGCUGGGCUCUAAGCGUAGUAAUACUCCUCGCUAUAGGGACCCGGUGGAUGCUGGCCAGCAACCCCAAAUUUUUCUAGGUUGACCUCGGAUCAGGUAGGGAUACCCGCUGAACUUAAGCAUAUCAAUAAGCGGAGGA